rnacentral:lncRNA from 1 species
GUUCAAUCAUCAGGAUUGAAAGGCACAGAGCCUGAAGGUGGAAUGGUGGCUUCAUCAUCUAGAACCACGCAUCUUCUAACUGGUGUCUUUUGCACUAGAAAGACAUCUUCAUCAUUCUCUUCUUUUUCGAAGUGGUAGGCUUCACCAUUCUUCCUCUUUGAAGAGGAAAUGCUCAGCAUUUGUUCCUGCACGUUACUGAUAGAAAUCCUAGCAUUAGGAACAAAAGCGGGACUGAUGCCACAAAUAGCAAACCAUAGAAACAACAAAAAAAGGUUAGAGUAAAAGAAGAAACAAUAAGGGAAAAUCAUGGUAAUUAAAAAUACUGUGGGUUUUCACUUUCCACCCAAAAUUUUGCGGCAAAAAUGUCCAUGAUCUUUGUUCUAUAGAGCUGGCAGACAAUAUUAUUUCUACCCAAUCACGAAAUUUAGGAAGUUCACCAAGAACUUCAUGAUUUCUGAAGAUUUGAAAAACAUAUGAGAAAAUGAAAAUCCUAAGGGAAGUAGAAAAAAAGUGAAGAAAAGUACUCAUGUGAAAAGUUCCAUUUCUCAUGGAAAGGCAUGUUUUUCAUCUUCCA